UACGUAGGGGGCAAGCGUUAUCCGGAUUUACUGGGUGUAAAGGGAGCGUAGACGGUAAUGUAAGUCUGAUGUGAAAGCCCGGGGCUCAACCCCGGCCCGCCGUUGAAACUGGCUGGCUUGAGUUGGGGAAAGGCAGGCGGAAUGCGCGGUGUAGCGGUGAAAUGCAUAGAUAUCGCGCAGAACCCCGAUUGCGAAGGCAGCCUGCCGGCCCCACACUGACGCUGAGGCACGAAAGCGUGGGGAGCAAAUAGG
rnacentral:rRNA from 1 species